rnacentral:rRNA from 1 species
GAUGAACGCUGGCGGCGUGCUUAACACAUGCAAGUCGAACGAGAAGUGGAGACGGACACCUUCGGGCGGAAGACUUUAUUUCGAGUGGCGGACGGGUGAGUAACGCGUGGGUAACCUGCCUCAUACAGGGGGAUAACAGUUGGAAACGACUGUUAAUACCGCAUAAGACCUCAGCACCGCAUGGUGCGGGGGUAAAAACUCCGGUGGUAUGAGAUGGACCCGCGUUCGAUUAGCCAGUUGGCGGGGUAACGGCCCACCAAAGCGACGAUCGAUAGCCGAUCUGAGAGGAUGACCGGCCACAUUGGGACUGAGACACGGCCCAAACUCCUACGGGAGGCAGCAGUGGGGAAUAUUGCACAAUGGGGGAAACCCUGAUGCAGCGACGCCGCGUGAGUGAAGAAGUAUUUCGGUAUGUAAAGCUCUAUCAGCAGGGAAGAAAAUGACGGUACCUGAGUAAGAAGCCCCGGCUAACUACGUG